CCUACGGGAGGCAGCAGUGGGGAAGUCUUGCGCAAUGGGCGAAAGCCUGACGCAGCCAUGCCGCGUGAAUGAUGAAGGUCUUAGGAUUGUAAAAUUCUUUCACCGGGGACGAUAAUGACGGUACCCGGAGAAGAAGCCCCGGCUAACUUCGUGCCAGCAGCCGCGGUAAUACGAAGGGGGCUAGCGUUGCUCGGAAUUACUGGGCGUAAAGGGAGCGUAGGCGGAUAGUUUAGUCAGAGGUGAAAGCCCAGGGCUCAACCUUGGAAUUGCCUUUGAUACUGGCUAUCUUGAGUACGGAAGAGGUAUGUGGAACUCCGAGUGUAGAGGUGAAAUUCGUAGAUAUUCGGAAGAACACCAGUGGCGAAGGCGACAUACUGGUCCGUUACUGACGCUGAGGCUCGAAAGCGUGGGGAGCAAACAGGAUUAGAUACCCUGGUAGUCCACGCUGUAAACGAUGAGUGCUAGUUGUCGGCAUGCAUGCAUGUCGGUGACGCAGCUAACGCAUUAAGCACUCCGCCUGGGGAGUACGGUCGCAAGNUUAAAACUCAAAUGAAUUGACGGNGUGAGAGNGCGAGACGACGACGAGGGAGGAGG
rnacentral:rRNA from 1 species